rnacentral:misc_RNA from 1 species
GCUGCACGUCAUGAAAGCAGCAGAAGUGGACAAAUCCGCUAAUAUCCUCACUGCGCAUGCGCAAGACGGUUGGAAACUGGUACAUAAACAAAAUUGGUAUUCCGCUGCAAAUUGCGAAAAUCGUGAUGGAAAGCGCCAAAGAUGUCGGCGUACAGAGCGACCUUCCAGUAUUCUGGAGCCGAGAAGCGACGCUAGCUUUGUUGAACGCGUAUGAAGUACAGAGGGAUCGCUUAGGUAAAGACUUUCGUUUUAAGAACUACAUGUGGGUUGCAAUAUCCCUUGCACUGAAGAAUGAGAUGGGGAUGAACUUCACACCAGCCCAGUGCGAGAACAGGUGGAGAGUUCUUUUGCGCAGUUACAAGAGAGCGAUGGACAAUAAUUUGAAGUUAUCGAGGAGAAGAAAGGACUUUGUGUACCAAGAUGCGAUGCAGAAAAUACUGAAGGGAGAAGACAUCAUCAGACCAGUGUCGCAGUCGGAUGAGACAGGUGUGCUUUCUAGUGGUGGAAAAUCGAAUGUACAGGUAGGGAACAGUGGUAGUGAACCUGAGACAGUACCAAAUAGUGGUAACGAAUUAUUAAUUAAUAGUGGAAAAUCUAAUGCGAACAGUGAAGUGAUUAGUAGUGAACCUGAGCCAACAGCAGGUAGUGGUAAACAAUUAUUCAUUAUCAGAGGAAACUCCAGUGUGAAUAGUGAUGGGAUUAGUAGUGAACCUGCGCCUUUACCAAGUAAAAAUUUCUUCAUUAUCAGUACAAAACCCACUAUGAACAGUGAUGUGAUUUGUAGGCCUAGUGAAACCGAACCCUCACUAAAUAGCGGUAAACAGUUAUUCAUUAUCACUGGAAAACCCUGUGUGAACAAUGAUAGGAUUAGUGGUGAACCUGAGCCAGCACCAGGUAGUAAUAAACAAUUAUUCAUUAUCAGUGCAAAAACGAAUGGGAACAGUGAUAGGAUUAACAGUGAACCUGCGCUAACACCAAGUAGUAGUAAACAAUUGUUACUCAUCAGUGGAAAAUCCAAUGGGAACAGUGAUGGGAUUAGUAGUGAACCUGAGCUGACACCAAGUAGUAGUAGUAAACAAUUAUCACUCAUCAGUGGAAAAUCCAAUGGGAACAGUGAUGGGAUUAGUAGUGAACCUGAGCUGACACCAAGUAGUAGUAGUAGACAAUUAUUACUUAUCAGUGGAAAAUCCAAUGUGAACAGUGAUAGUAGUAAUAAACCUGAGCCACCACCAAGUAGUAAUGAACCUGCACCAGCAGCAAGCAGUAGCAAACAGUUAUUUACCAAUCCUUCUGAAUCAUCAGUUAGUCCACCAGAAAAGAGAAGGAAGCUGAAACAGUCGUUCUUACAACAGAUAAGAGCUGACAGGAAACUUUACUACGAGAAAAAACUGGAAGUAGACAGGGAGAGACUUGAAGGCUUAGAAAGGAGAAAUGAUGAGUUACUGCAGUUAAAGAAAAUGAAGCUUCAACAAGCAGAGAGAAUGAUUGCAUUUGAAGAAGAAAAGCUCAAAUGUGAAAAAGAAAAACUUGUAAUUUCUAGUGAAAAAUUAAAAAUGUAUCGUAGGUUAGUUCAGCUACAAGAAGAAAGCAAUGACAUUUUGAGAUCUAUUAAUGACCAAUUUGAUUUUUUACUAUAAGUGAUCGAGCCCCUUGUGUGACUAUUCACAUGUUCUUUUCUGAUAUUUAAGUUUCCUCCUGUGGGCCUCACCUUGACGUGGUAGGAGGGCUCAGUACCCAGUGAUCCGGACGUUUGGUCCAGAGAAGUCUAGUUCACUAGCUUGAUGGAUGGGAAGAGGUGAGGGGAAGCUAAGAUGGACCUACAACAGAUAGAGAAGAUUAAACCAUGGUGUCCCAAUAUUCCAUUGAGGAACGAGGGAAGGUAGCUGCCUGGAUGAAGGUCUCUCAGUUCUGAAGCAUCGUACAAGAAAAAUUCAAGGCCUGGACCAAACAGGAUGCACCAUUGUGCCUGACAAUUGGUCGGAUCUACAAGAAGUUUGUAAGGAGAGGGUCUGUUCAAGAGGAUUUCAAGAGAAACGGUGGUAGGAGAGCUGUCUGAACUGAAGAGAAUAUCAUCCUUGUCCAGGGAGUGAUGGUAGCCAGCCCAACCAAGUCGUCUCCCCGACUUUCUCUGGAGACUAACAUUUCCCAAAGAUCAGUGGUUAGAAAUUUGCACAAUUAUUGUGCAGCAGCUCACAAAUGUGAAUAAGCAAGCUCAUGUGAGUGCUGCGAAAAUUAUCUGGGAAAUUGCGCAUCCCCCUCUGGGUUCAGGGGUUAGAAUAGUCCUGAGGUAUUCCUGCUUGUCAUAAGAGCUGACUGAAUGGAGUCUCCUGGUUUUCGGCCUUCAGUAUCAUGGUCCCCUUUAUGGUUUGAUCUCCACAAUUUCCAAAUUUUUCUGAAUAGAGGGCCAUUUGGGGAAGGACAGACAUAUUACAUAGUGCUUCAUAUAUCCAUCAUUGGAGAGUCACGUUUCUUCUGGGAGUACAGCUUCAAGCAGCAAGAUCUCAACAUCUCUGAGAAGAUAGUCAAGAAAAACAAAAAAAGUGUCAGCUAAUAACGAAUAUUUUGUAUGGUCAAGUCACAUCUUUCGCAAGAGGACACAGCAGACAUAAAUCUUCCUCACAUAGAACAAUGUGAAAACCUUAACAUAUACUGUUACAAUAUACAAGGAUUGAGAAAUAAAGUAAGUGAACUUGAAA